rnacentral:rRNA from 1 species
UCAGCCUGCCCAGUGACAAAGUUUAACGGCCGCGGUACCCUAACCGUGCGAAGGUAGCAUAAUCACUUGUUCUUUAAAUGAGGACUCGUAUCAACGGCACUACGAGGGCUAUACUGUCUCCUUUUUCCAAUCAGUGAAACUGAUCUCCCCGUGAAGAAGCGGGGAUGAGAAUAUAAGACGAGAAGACCCCAUGGAGCUUUAAACUCACCAUGCACCUCUAUGCCCUUGUAUCACUAGACAUAAGACACCUGCAUGACAGUUUUAGGUUGGGGGGACCACGGAGUAUAAUAUAACCUCCACAACAAAUGGGCUAACACCCUUAUCCACGAGACACAACUCUAAGAAUUAUUAAACUAAUGCUUAUGACCCGAUAUUCGAUCAAUGAACCAAGUUACCCUGGGGAUAACAGCGCAAUCUACUUCAAGAGCCCAUAUCGACAAGUAGGUUUACGACCUCGAUGUUGGAUCAGGGUAUCCCGGUGGUGCAGCCGCUACCAAUGGUUCGUUUGUUCAACGAUUAAAACCCUACGUGA